rnacentral:rRNA from 1 species
UUUCCGGUUGAUCCUGCCGGAGGCCAUUGCUAUCGGAGUCCGAUUUAGCCAUGCUAGUCGAGCGAGGUUAGCCCUCGCGGCGAACAGCUCAGUAACACGUGGCCAAGCUACCCUGCAGAGGGGGACAGCGUCGGGAAACUGACGGGAAUCCCCCAUACCGGUCUCACGCUGGAAUGCCGAGACCGACAAACGCUCCGGCGCGGCAGGAUGCGGCUGCGGCCGAUUAGGUAGUCGGUGGGGUAACGGCCCACCGAGCCGAUAAUUGGUACGGGGUGUGAGAGCACGAGCCCGGAGACGGAAUCUGAGACAAGAUUCCGGGCCCUACGGGGCGCAGCAGGCGCGAAACCUUUACACUGCACGCACGUGCGAUAAGGGGACUCCGAGUGCGAGGGCAUAUCGUCCUCGCUUUCGUGUACCGUAGGGUGGUACACCAACAAGGGCUGGGCAAGACCGGUGCCAGCCGCCGCGGUAAUACCGGCAGCUCGAGUGAUGGCCGAUUUUAUUGGGCCUAAAGCGUCCGUAGCUGGCCCUGCAAGUCCGUCGGGAAAUCCACUCGCCUAACGAGUGGGCGUCCGGCGGAAACUACAGGGCUUGGGACCGGAAGACUUGAGGGGUACGUCUGGGGUAGGAGUGAAAUCCUGUAAUCCUGGACGGACCGCCGAUAGCGAAAGCACCUCAAGACGACGGAUCCGACAGUGAGGGACGAAAGCUAGGGUCUCGAACCGGAUUAGAUACCCGGGUAGUCCUAGCUGUAAACGAUGUUCGCUAGAUGUGGCACAGGCUACGUGCCUGUGCUGUGUCGUAGGGAAGCCGCUAAGCAGGCCGCCUGGGAAGUACGUCCGCAAGGAUGAAACUUAAAGGAAUUGGCGGGGGAGCACUACAACCGGAGGAGCCUGCGGUUUAAUUGGAUUCAACGCCGGGA